rnacentral:lncRNA from 1 species
AAAAUAGUAACAACAAUAAAACGUAGGAAAAAACUUAGCUUCUAUACUCCUUUUGCUUUCUAAAAAAUUGCAUAUUAAUCUAAGUCACAUGUUCCAUUAAGCCUUGCAACAUAAAAGCAAUAGAAAUAAAACAGAACUAGUCUUAAUAGAUGUGUUUUCAAGACCAAGGAAAAGAAAGUCCCAUGAGAAUUUUCUAUUAUCUAAGCAUGCACAGGAAAUUUCACAAAGGAUACUUAAAGCAAAUUACUGGAAUUUGGUGAGCUGGUUUUCUCCCAUGAAUAUAUUCACUGGGCCUCACCAGCAUAGUGAUAAAGAAUAGUCCUCAGUUGACAUCUAAAUUAAAAAGUCAAAUUUUCUAAUUUAUUAGAAAAUAAUAAAAGAAAUAGUUGAUUUAUUUCUCCAUUAGUGUUUGCCAUAGUACCUAGUAGCAUGCAUUCAUUUGACCAGUUUCCCUGGGGUAUUAGUUAGCAAACUUCCUGGGGGUCUUUGGAACUUAAAUAAAUAAAGCAGAUUCAACAGAUAAGGUGCAUUACUGUACGAAAAUUUUUAUGGCUUUAGCAGAGAACAGAAUCCAACACCCAUACUCAUUUAUAGACCUGAUUAACAAGAAAUUUUCUCCAAGCAGAUGGAGCAUGAAAACUGCUGCCCCUUGGAAUCAGUUUUCUAACUGAGUUUAAUAUUUGCAUUUGGUUUUCCACUGUUAUUAUUAUUAUUGCCAUUUUAACUUAUGCAUUCCCGCCAUAGCAUAUGCCUCUAGGUACAAGAGGAAGGAAAAAUUCAAUUUUAGUGUUUGUCUUAUUUGCACUUUACUUGAUGCAAUUUGGUUUGCCACAUGGAGUGAAUAAAGCUGUCAUGUUAUUUUUUUUUUCAAGAAGAACACAAUAACUAUAAUGGACUGUGCAUUCAUUACUGAGUAGAUUCAUUUUUUUCUCCCAUUGAAGGGCAUAAAAGAGGGGAUAAUUUCAAAGUGAAUUGAAUUGUGUCUGGUGAAUCAUGAUGCGCAUUUCCGACCAAGGCAUAAAACACGUCCCAGCUUUUCUGCCAGCAUUUUUUUGAAGAAUAUUACUCAGAAUGCAGUAAAGCCAUAUUUGUUUGGUUUUUUGCUUGUAUGUACUAAUUUUCUGCGGGAAAAUGUAAAUUAAAAGAUAACCUUUGACUUCCAGAAAGUAUGCUCUAUGAUGGAGUCUUGGCUUGCUUUCCUGGGGGACUUGAAUUUCUCUUCCUUUUUUCUUAUUUUACAUUACCUCCUUAACAUUUUCACCUACCAUCUAGCUAUUGCCAAAUUUUUCCCUAGAUGUUAAAGAUCUUAGCUGUGUUCAUACUACCAUUCAAACAUGCCUGGCCCCAUCUGGAGAUUCACUGUAGGGGACCCUUCAGAGCUCUGUUGGCAUGAAGUACUCAAGAUCUCACUAGGAAAUAGCUCAUUAUAAGAACAGAUUUGAGGGGAAUACAUUUGAAGACAGUGGGAUAGGGUUGGAGGAGAGGAUCAUUUGGGUAAUAACAUUAUCAUUCAGAUCAUUCCCCAUUUGGUUUCCUUGGAGGGCUCACACCUGUAAUCCUAGCACUUUGGGAGGUCAAGGCAGGAGGAUCACUUGAGGCCAGGACUUUGUGACCAGCCUGAGUAAUAUAAGACCUCAUUUCCAUAAACAAAUUUUUUUUUAAAUUUUAAGAGCUGUUUUUACAAAAAAUCUUUAGAUAUUGAGAGCACAAAGAAGUGCUUUUGUGUAACCUAGGUAACUCAUGGCAGUAAUACAAAUAAUUAACAUUUAUUGAGCUCUUCUAAUUAGUAAACAUUUUGCAUACAUUAUCUAAUCCAAUCAUCACAGUGAUCCAAUGAUAUGGUCAUUAUUUUCUCCAAUUAAGGCUUAAAAGGGAUGUGUAACUUGCCUGUGGACACAUAGCUCAAACAUGGCAGAUCCAGGAUUCUAUGUACAUCUCUCUGAAUUUAAAAUCCACACUCUUGACCACCUAACAAUACUGUCUUUCACCAAGAAGAACUGGAGCAUGCUGUAGUACAGAAAGAAAUGAUGGACUGAGAAGUCAUCAUAUGGGCCUACAUCUGCAAUGGAGGGUGGGAGAACAGUGGGCUUUAAUGCACACUGAAAAUGGAUGCCUAAUGCCUGCAUACACUUAUCAGAAGCCUCUUGUUGGCUUCUUGGCAACCUCUCAGCUGCUGAGCAGAGAAGAAGAAAGUGGCUCCUGGCAGAUGGUGGCCAAGAUGAGAAUACAAGUGAAGUAACUCCUGGACUUCCCAGAACAAUUAGGGAGAGAUUCAAAGCUAGAGUCUAUCCUACUCCACCGAAUGAGCAGCUAUAAAAUGCAGAAGAGAGCAGCGGCAACAAGGAAAAGGCUUCAUGAUAGCAGGGGCUGGUCUGUGUUACUCACUGCUGUAUAUACACUGCUUAACGCAUAGUGCUACUAAAUAUUUGCUGAAAGACAGGAGAAAGACAGAUUGAAUUACACACUGGACUUGACUUGUACCGGAUGAACUCUGAGGUGC